GACGGAGGGGGCUAGCGUUAUUCGGAAUUACUGGGCGUAAAGGGCGCGUAGGCGGAUUAGUAAGUUGGGAGUGAAAUCCCGGGGCUCAACCUCGGAAUGGCUUUCAAAACUGCUAGUCUAGAGUGAAGUAGGGGGUGAUGGAAUUCCUAGUGUAGAGGUGAAAUUCUUAGAUAUUAGGAGGAACACCGGUGGCGAAGGCGGUCACCUGGACUUCAACUGACGCUGAGGCGCGAAAGCGUGGGGAGCAAACAGG
rnacentral:rRNA from 1 species